rnacentral:Y_RNA from 1 species
GGCUGGUCUAAAGGUAGUGAGUUACCUCAACUGAUUGUUCACAAUCAGUUAUAGAUCAAACUCCUUGUUUCCAACUCCUUGUUCUACUCUUUCUCCCUUCUCACUACUGCACUAGUCUAAAAA